UGCUGGAGGUAUCAGAAGUGCGAAUGCUGACAUAAGUAACGAUAAAGCGGGUGAAAAGCCCGCUCGCCGGAAGACCAAGGGUUCCUGUCCAACGUUAAUCGGGGCAGGGUGAGUCGACCCCUAAGGCGAGGCCGAAAGGCGUAGUCGAUGGGAAACGGGUUAAUAUUCCCGUACUUGGUGUUACUGCGAAGGGGGGACGGAGAAGGCUAUGUUGGCCGGGCGACGGUUGUCCCGGUUUAAGCGUGUAGGYKKGUKUUCCAGGYAAAUCCGGAAAAUCAAGGCUGAGGCGUGAUGACGAGGCACUACGGUGCUGAAGCAACAAAUGCCCUGCUUCCAGGAAAAGCCUCUAAGCAUCAGGUAACAUCAAAUCGUACCCCAAACCGACACAGGUGGUCAGGUAGAGAAUACCAAGGCGCUUGAGAGAACUCGGGUGAAGGAACUAGGCAAAAUGGUGCCGUAACUUCGGGAGAAGGCACGCUGACAUGUAGGUGAAGUGAUUUACUCAUGGAGCUGAAGUCAGUCGAAGAUACCAGCUGGCUGCA
rnacentral:rRNA from 1 species